rnacentral:rRNA from 1 species
GAUGAACGCUGGCGGCGUGCCUAAUACAUGCAAGUCGAGCGAACGGACGAGAAGCUUGCUUCUCUGAUGUUAGCGGCGGACGGGUGAGUAACACGUGGAUAACCUACCUAUAAGACUGGGAUAACUUCGGGAAACCGGAGCUAAUACCGGAUGAUAUUUUGAACCGCAUGGUUCAAAAGUGAAAGACGGUCUUGCUGUCACUUAUAGAUGGAUCCGCGCUGCAUUAGCUAGUUGGUAAGUUAACGGCUUACCAAGGCAACGAUGCAUAGCCGACCUGAGAGGGGGAUCGGCCACACUGGAACGGAGACACGGUCCAGACUCCUACGGGAGGCAGCAGUAGGGAAUCUUACGCAGUGGGCGAAAGCCUGACGGAGCAACGCCGCGUGAGUGAUGAAGGUCUUCGGAUCGUAAAACUCUGUUAUUAGGGAAGAACAUAUGUGUAAGUAACUGUGCACAUCUUGACGGUACCUAAUCAGAAAGCCACGGCUAACUACGUG